rnacentral:rRNA from 1 species
AGCAGCCGCGGUAAUUCCAGCUCCAAUAGCGUAUAUUAAAGUUGUUGCAGUUAAAAGCUCGUAGUUGAAUUUCGGGAUCAAUACGUCGGUCGUGCUUCGGUACGUACUGGCGUCAUUGAUUUCUCCCUUCUGACGAACCAUGAUGUCAUUAACUUGGUGUCAUGGGAAAUCAGGACUGUUACUUUGAAAAAUUAGAGUGUUUAAAGCAAGCUCGCGCUUGAAUACAUUAGCAUGGAAUAAUGAAAUAUGGACGUUUGAUUCUAUUUUGUUGGUUUCUAGGAUCGACGUAAUGAUUAAUAGGGAUAGUUGGGGGCAUUAGUAUUCAAUUGUCAGAGGUGAAAUUCUUGGAUUUAUUGAAGACUAACUACUGCGAAAGCAUUUGCCAAGGAUGUUUUUCAUUUAAUCAAGAACGAAAGUUAGGGGAUCGAAGACGAUCAGAUACCGUCGUAGUCUUAACCAUAAACUAUGCCGACUAGGGAUCGGAUGAUGUUAAUUUUUUAAUGACUCAUUCGGCGCCUUA